CCUACGGGAGGCAGCAGUGAGGAAUAUUGGUCAAUGGCCGAGAGGCUGAACCAGCCAAGUCGCGUGAGGGAAGACGGCCCUACGGGUUGUAAACCUCUUUUGUCGGGGAGCAAAGCGAACCACGUGUGGUUCGUUGAGAGUACCCGAAGAAAAAGCAUCGGCUAACUCCGUGCCAGCAGCCGCGGUAAUACGGAGGAUGCGAGCGUUAUCUGGAUUUAUUGGGUUUAAAGGGUGCGCAGGCGGUCUGUUAAGUCAGCGGUAAAAGCCCGGGGCCCAACCCCGGCCCGCCGUUGAAACUGGCAGUCGCGAGUUGGAGAGAAGUAUGCGGAAUGCGCGGUGUAGCGGUGAAAUGCAGAGAUAUCGCGCAGAACUCCGAUUGCGAAGGCAGCAUGCCGGCUCCACACUGACGCUGAGGCACGAAAGCGUGGGUAUCGAACAGGAUUAGAUACCCUUGUAGUC
rnacentral:rRNA from 1 species